CACAGAAGGUUUGGGUUGGUAACAUUUUUCCACCAUGUGAUUGAAUCAGAGAGAGACCAGCUCCGCAGUUUAACAGAAUAAAAUAGAAACAAAAGAAAGAGAGGAUUUGGUGGUGUUUCCUGGAUGAGAGCAUUCCAUUUCCUCAUUCUUGAGGCCCUGCUGCAUUCCUUCACUGAGGUAUUUUCUACCCUGGGAAUUCUUGACCACCUAAUUCAGGUAUUCUGUAACCUGACCUCACCUUUGAAACAUCUGAGAAGCAUUGAAAACAUAGGUGUGCCUGAGCCCCCUGCUUACCUGAUUACAUCAGAAUCUUGGGAUGAGGGUCUUCAGCAUAUAGAAAGUCAUCCUUUCUUGGUGGAUGAAUGACUGAAGGAAGGAAUACAUGCCUGGUCUUGGAGACAUCCACUGAAAUAAGGAUCAGAUCAAGGAAACAAAAGCCACUGGAAGAUUCUACUAAGAUGGGAGCCACCGUGGAAAGAACUUUGAUGUUGUACAAAAUGUUAUCACUUCAGGAAGUCUCUGGUGGCCCCUGGGGAUAAAAACAGAAGGAAAUCAGAGAAAAGCCAAGAAGGAAGUGAAAGGUCCGAAAGCAAGGAAGAGCUCGGCCUUUGGAAGGAAAUGAAAGAAAGCAGGAGGGCCGUGACCCACUAGAAAGUAGGAAUCUUCCACCACUGGUCCCCAGUCUUUGAGGUUCAUUGGCAUCCUUGGAGGAGAAAGACGUCUGAGGCUACUGGUUAUCUUUUCCAUACCUCUUGUCCCCUCUGCACCUCACCUCCACUCUGCACAGAUGUCCUUUGGUCAUUUCACAGGUGUGUCUUUUGUUCUCAAUUCAUUGAUAAACUCUUUGAGAGGAAGAAACUUGCUUCCUAAGUCUUUGGCAUUCCUCAUAGCUUCCAAUUUGGGGCCCUCCCACCACCCCCUGUCCCAUGCUCAGUUUUUCUUGAAUGGUGUCUAUAAUUCUUCAGGUGGGUGUAAGUUUUCUCAGGACAUUUCUCAGUAACCUUCCUCAUCAUGCUUGUCAUUAUAAUUUAGCUUCUGAUCUAGUGCUGCUGUUACAGUUGGAUUUUUUCAAAUUUUAAUUUCACAUUUCAUUUCAAGAAGUAAAUUAAACAGAUAUGUUGGUUAUAUAUUUUGCCUUCUUUCUUUUUCACCAGAGUGAAUUCUAAGUAUCAUAAGGCAAACUCUAAAUCAGAUACAUCAGUGUUUAUGAUGUCAUAAUUUUCUAUAAUAGGAAUCAAUCUUGAAUAGCUGAAUUACAAGCUGAGAAGAGCUAUUAGCAAUACAUUAAUUUGGUGAAUGCCUAGAUCUAUCUCCCUUGUCUUGUUUUUUUAAUUGUGCAAUUAUUAUUUGACUGAUUAUUAAAUUACAUUGGAUUGAUUAGUUUCUACUUGAAAAGGAAGUUUAAAGUUUUUAAUAUUUCCUUAUGUGAGGAAAGGUGUGGUACAUGUUAUUUGUAUUACCUUAAAGAUGGAAAAUGGGAAGCAGAUUUUAAAAGGCUUAAUAAGCCUUGAUCUUUGUAACUGAUUUUUACCUGGAAACUAGAGAAAAGCCCACCAUUCCCAGUUCAGCACACCAUUUCAGACUUUAUCCAUUGAGUUUCACCUCCAUUUGUUGCCAGAUGAACUGAUCAAAACUGGUCUGAUUGUGUAUUAUUAUAUUUCUUUACCAAAAGAAAGGAUAACAAUAAAAAGAAGGUAAUCACUUCUCUUAUAGAUAAUAAAUUC